GGCCUCCUGGUGCUUACCACAGGCUAUGUUCUUACACUGACUGUAUAGAAAGAGGAGGAAGAGUAAACCUAGCCCAUAUACACCUCAGCACAGGCCCUGUGCCUGGUCUGUAUUGUGACUCAGAGGACACAG
rnacentral:snoRNA from 1 species